AUUGAACGCUGGCGGCAGGCCUAACACAUGCAAGUCGAACGGUAGCACAGAGAGCUUGCUCUCGGGUGACGAGUGGCGGACGGGUGAGUAAUGUCUGGGAAACUGCCCGAUGGAGGGGGAUAACUACUGGAAACGGUAGCUAAUACCGCAUAACGUCGCAAGACCAAAGUGGGGGACCUUCGGGCCUCACACCAUCGGAUGUGCCCAGAUGGGAUUAGCUAGUAGGUGGGGUAAUGGCUCACCUAGGCGACGAUCCCUAGCUGGUCUGAGAGGAUGACCAGCCACACUGGAACUGAGACACGGUCCAGACUCCUACGGGAGGCAGCAGUGGGGAAUAUUGCACAAUGGGCGCAAGCCUGAUGCAGCCAUGCCGCGUGUAUGAAGAAGGCCUUCGGGUUGUAAAGUACUUUCAGCGGGGAGGAAGGCGGUGAAGUUAAUAGCUUCACCGAUUGACGUUACCCGCAGAAGAAGCACCGACUAACUCCGUGCCAGCCGCCGCCGCAG
rnacentral:rRNA from 1 species